rnacentral:misc_RNA from 1 species
CAGUAAUAAAAAAAAAUCUUCUUGUUUCAUAAUGUCACGUGACAACACCAAGAUUUAAAAUACUACGUAACAGUAACAAGAAAAAAUCACUACGCUUUAUCUAAAUAUAUACAUUAUUAUUUUAUAAUGUCAUAACAUCACACCAACAAGCCUUUAUAACGUCUCAGCUUUUAAACCAUGCCUGUUAAUAAAACCUUUUUAUACUUCACCCUUAAAAAUUUGCAACGAAGGGGCUCUAACAGCUGGAUCCAUUUAUAAGUUCUGCUUGUCAAAUGCAGACAUCGCACCUAACAUAUCUCUGAUCUAGAUAUAGAUCACAGAAGUUCAAAGAUCACCAUUCAUCUUCAACCUCGUCUUUCAAGAACCAGAUCCUCAUAAGAAAAACAGGGUAAAGAGCAAGAGCCUUUCUUCUUGGGUUGACGGCUGAGCUCAUGAAUGGAUAGGCAGCCCAUGAGCUCCAAGCCAAUGUCACACACACUACAGCCACUUUUAUUAUCACAUUGUCCUUCAACAUACAGAUUACGGCUCCAAUGUCCAGAGGGAAAAGACAAUAACCCAGAAGGCUCAGACUUUGGAAGAAAAUUAUGUGUCCACCCAGUAGCAAAACAUUCAAUGUCAAGAUUACAGCACCCGCUGCAAGUAGUGCAAAUGCCACAGCAAAAACCUCAGACUUCUUCACCGAAGCAGACCAUGAGAGAGUAAGCCCCAGAAAAACUAUGAAGAAAAAUGGGCCCCACAGAUCCCAAUCCCUCAAAGCCUUGCCUGGAUCUUCUCUAUACGGAUUAGGAAAUACUACCAGCUUCAAAUUACUCACGAUCCUCGACAGAUCUCUCUUCACCGUCUCCCAAACAGGCUCCGUCAACGUAUUCGGAGGUGACCCAAAUCCGGACGCACCAAUACUCGAAUGAGAGUUGACAGGAGGAGGGGGCGGAGCCGAGGGAACAGAUGGGACAAACGACGGUUUCUGGUGUGUCGAUGGCAGUGGAGGGAGAUUCGACGGAAUGAAUGGAGAGGAAGAGACAGGGAUUCGCGGCGGACUGGGCGGGCGGGCCGGUAGGACAGUUGCCGGACCGGAUUGAACGCUGGCGUUGAUUAGGUUCUCGAUCUCGUCGAUGUCAGAUUGGGAGGAUGCGUGAAGAGGGAUUGUGUCGCUGUGCGACAUUUUUUGUUCUUAGGUAAAAGUUCGUUUUUCCUUUUUCUCGGAAAUGAUGGAAAACUAAUAGAUCUGAGGAGUGGAAAAGAAUAUCCGCAGAAAGAAGAGCGAAAUCACUGAGAAUCGAUGGUUGGGUUGAGUUGAUUUUCUUCACUGUUACGGUCGCGGAGGUUUCUGUUUGUCAGCGGUUAAAACGUAGCCGUUGAAGUAAUUAACGGGAAAAAACAAAGUACGCGGUAGC